CUCUUUCUCUAGAUCUAGAUCUGGAGCAAACAUCAAUGAAAUUGAAAACACGCAGUGAUGAACACCGAUUUGAAGAAACCCUAACUGAAGGUGGGUGGAUCUCCUGUAUCAAUAUUUUCACUCACGGGAAGUAAUGCUGGUGAUGGACGUUUAGCUGCUGGUCUCAAACGGCUUACAACAGCUACUCGGUAUGGUGACCGGAGGAACGCCGGCGACGGGAUGAGGACGGAGGGGGCGGCGUGGGAGGACGGCGUCGCCGAGGGGGAGGC
rnacentral:lncRNA from 1 species